UAAUACAGAGGUCCCAAGCGUUGUUCGGAUUCACUGGGCGUAAAGGGUGCGUAGGUGGUGAGGUAAGUCGGAUGUGAAAUCUCCGAGCUCAACUCGGAAAUGGCAUUGGAAACUACCUUGCUAGAGGAUUGGAGGGGAGACUGGAAUGCUUGGUGUAGCAGUGAAAUGCGUAGAUAUCAAGCGGAACACCAGUGGCGAAGGCGAGUCUCUGGACAAUUCCUGACACUGAGGCACGAAAGCCAGGGGAGCAAACGGGAUUAGAUACCCCGGUAGUCCUGGCCGUAAACGGUGCACGUUUGCUGUAAAAGGAAUCGACCCCUUUUGUGGCGUAGCCAACGCGAUAAACGUGCCGCCUGGGAAGUACGGUCGCAAGAUUA
rnacentral:rRNA from 1 species